rnacentral:misc_RNA from 1 species
UUAACCACCAAAUCUCGUCCCAAAAAUGCCAAAGUCAAGAAAGAGGAACCCCAAGUUGAUGACAACGACCAUGAUCAUUUUGACACACCCAUUAUGGUUAAGGGCUCCUCAGGGUCGCGCCCUAAGGUAGCUAAAGUCAAGAAGGAAGAAGACAAGGAUGAUGAUGAUGAUCACAGAUCCAUCUCCAAGAAGAACUUUGAUUCCAAGGAAAUGAAAAAGAAGAAGAAUAAAAAAGAGGAAGAGAAGAAGAAGAAG